UACGAAGGGGACUAGCGUUGCUCGGAAUGACUGGGCGUAAAGGGCGCGUAGGCGGAUGGCACAGUCAGAUGUGAAAUUCCCGGGCUUAACCUGGGGGCUGCAUUUGAUACGUGUUGUCUUGAGUUCGGAAGAGGGUCGUGGAAUUCCCAGUGUAGAGGUGAAAUUCGUAGAUAUUGGGAAGAACACCGGUGGCGAAGGCGGCGACCUGGUCCGACACUGACGCUGAGGCGCGAAAGCGUGGGGAGCAAACAGG
rnacentral:rRNA from 1 species